rnacentral:rRNA from 1 species
UAUUGGAUCCAGACUUUGAUUCUGGCUCAGGAUGAACGCUAGCUACAGGCUUAACACAUGCAAGUCGAGGGGAAACGACAUCGAAAGCUUGCUUUUGAUGGGCGUCGACCGGCGCACGGGUGAGUAACGCGUAUCCAACCCGCCCACCACUUGGGAAUAACCUUGCGAAAGUAAGACUAAUACCCAAUGACGUCUCUAGAAGACAUCUGAAAGAGAUUAAAGAUUUAUCGGUGAUGGAUGGGGAUGCGUCUGAUUAGCUUGUUGGCGGGGUAACGGCCCACCAAGGCUACGAUCAGUAGGGGUUCUGAGAGGAAGGUCCCCCACAUUGGAACUGAGACACGGUCCAAACUCCUACGGGAGGCAGCAGUGAGGAAUAUUGGUCAAUGGACGACAGUCUGAACCAGCCAAGUAGCGUGCAGGAUGACGGCCCUAU